GUUUGUGUGUGUGAAUCUCCCAUGUUCCCUCUCUUUCCCUCUCUCUCUUCUGUCUGUGUGGAGUGGGAAACAGUGAGGGGAAAAUAGAGAAAGAAAAGAAAAAGAGGAAAAGAAGAAGAACAAGAAGAAGAAAAAAAAAGGGUGCUGGCCUGAGGUUCUAUCUCUCCUAUUAUUAUUCAGAAAUCAUUUUUGAGGAUCAGACCUUGGCAUUUUGGGGCUUGUAUAUAGAAGGUGAGGCCAGUCUGCAAAAAGUGGUUAGUUCUUAGGGUAAUAAGUAUAUAUUGAUGGUGGUAUUAGUCUAAUGUAAAUUCAGUAAAACUUGAAGAUUUAAAUUGAUCCAUGAAAUAAAAAGUUAGUUGUUCUAUUAU